rnacentral:rRNA from 1 species
GAUGAACGCUGGCGGCGUGCCUAAUACAUGCAAGUCGAGCGAACGGACGAGAAGCUUGCUUCUCUGAUGUUAGCGGCGGACGGGUGAGUAACACGUGGAUAACCUACCUAUAAGACUGGGAUAACUUCGGGAAACCGGAGCUAAUACCGGAUAAUAUUUUGAACCGCAUGGUUCAAAAGUGAAAGACGGUCUUGCUGUCACUUAUAGAUGGAUCCGCGCUGCAUUAGCUAGUUGGUAAGGUAACGGCUUACCAAGGCAACGUUGCAUAGCCGACCUGAGAGGGUGAUCGGCCACUCUGGAAGUGAGACACGGUCCAGACUCUUACGGGAGGCAGCAGUAGGGAAUCUUCCGCAAUGGGCGAAAGCCUGACGGAGCAACGCCGCGUGAGUGAUGAAGGUCUUCGGAUCGUAAAACUCUGUUAUUAGGGAAGAACAUAUGUGUAAGUAACUGUGCACAUCUUGACGGUACCUAAUCAGAAAGCCACGGCUAACUACGUG